UAUAUCAAGCAGCUCAAACCACCCACCAUAUGGCUGGGUUAGCGUUGCAAUUGUGAUGGAAGAAAAAUAAUUAUCGAACGGCCUUGACCGCAGCUAAAUGGCCGAUUGCAAGCACUAAAACUAUACAAGACUAUAAACAUGGAAGAUAUUCAGAAAAUUAAGAGGCAUAAUCCUUCUUGUAGCAUUUGUCUUCAGGAUAAAAAAUGGCAACAGCAGUA
rnacentral:misc_RNA from 1 species